UAAGGAAUAUUGGUCAAUGGACGCAAGUCUGAACCAGCCAUGCCGCGUGGAGGAUGAAGGUCCUCUGGAUUGUAAACUUCUUUUCUCUGGGACGAAACCCCCGAUUUCCAUCGGGCCUGACGGUACCAGAGGAAUAAGCACCGGCUAACUCCGUGCCAGCAGCCGCGGUAAUACGGAGGGUGCAAGCGUUAUCCGGAUUCACUGGGUUUAAAGGGUGCGUAGGCGGGUUUGUAAGUCAGUGGUGAAAUCCCCGAGCUUAACUUGGGAACUGCCAUUGAUACUGCAGAUCUUGAAUUUUCUGGAGGUAAGCGGAAUAUGUCAUGUAGCGGUGAAAUGCUUAGAUAUGACAUAGAACACCCAUUGCGAAGGCAGCUUACUACGGGAAUAUUGACGCUGAGGCACGAAAGCGUGGGGAUCAAACAGG
rnacentral:rRNA from 2 species